AAUCCAUCGGCGGGAGAGUCGGGACAGUCGGUGGCGUAGUAAAUUCUAUCGCCGCGGUUGUCUGCAGCCCUAGCCGUAUCAACCAACCCCCAUUAUAACUUUUUAGUCCUCGGAUCAGGUAGGGAUACCCGCUGAACUUAAGCAUAUCAAUAAGCGGAGGAAAAGAAACCAACAGGGAUUGCCUUAGUAACUGCGAGUGAAGCGGCAAAAGCUCAAAUUUGAAAUCUGGCGUCUUCGGCGUCCGAGUUGUAAUUUGGAGGGGCAUUUUCGGAGGUGGCGCUGUCCUAAGUUCCUUGGAACAGGACGUCACAGAGGGUGAGAAUCCCGUGCCUGGAUGGCUGUCCAUCUCCGUGUGAAAUGCGUCCGACGAGUCGAGUUGUUUGGGAAUGCAGCUCAAAUUGGGAGGUAAAUUUCUUCUAAAGCUAAAUAUUGGCGAGAGACCGAUAGCGCACAAGUAGAGUGAUCGAAAGAUGAAAAGCACUUUGAAAAGAGAGUUAAAAAGUACGUGAAAUUGUUGAAAGGGAAGCGCUUGAGAUCAGACUCGAUCUGUGGUGAUCAGCCGUGCUUCUGUGCGGUGCACUUGCCACGGAUUGGGCCAGCAUCGGUUUUGACGGUGGGAUAAAAGGUUUGGGAAUGUGGCUCCCCUCGGGGAGUGUUAUAGCCCAGAUCACCAUGCCACCAGUCGGGACCGAGGACCGCGCUUCGGCUAGGAUGCUGGCGUAAUGGUCUCAAGCGACCCGUCUUGAAACACGGACCAAGGAGUCUAACAUCUAUGCGAGUGUUCGGGUGGAAAACCCUUGCGCGAAAUGAAAGUGAACGGAGGUGGGAACCCCUCACGGGGUGCACCAUCGACCGAUCCUGAUGUAUUCGGAAGGAUUUGAGUAAGAGCAUGGCUGUUGGGACCCGAAAGAUGGUGAACUAUGCCUGGAUAGGGUGAAGCCAGAGGAAACUCUGGUGGAGGCUCGCAGCGGUUCUGACGUGCAAAUCGAUCGUCAAAUUUGGGUAUAGGGGCGAAAGACUAAUCGAACCAUCUAGUAGCUGGGUUCCUGCCGAA
rnacentral:rRNA from 1 species